rnacentral:tRNA from 1 species
AGUUAAUAAGUUUUAAAACGUAUAUUUUGAAAAUAUAAAAAAGAAGAUAAUUGACUUCUAUUGACUU